GGGGAUUUAGCUCAGUGGUAGAGUGCUUGCCUAGUAAGCGCAAGGCCCUGGGUUCGAUUCUCAGCUCCG
rnacentral:tRNA from 1 species